ACGAACGCUGGCGGCGUGCUUAACACAUGCAAGUCGAACGGUGAAGCGCCUUCCUUUUUGGUGGGUGUGGAUGAGUGGCGAACGGGUGAGUAACACGUGAGUAACCUGCCCCCUUCUUCUGGAUAACCGCAUGAAAGUGUGGCUAAUACGGGAUAUUCUGGGUCUGUCGCAUGAUGGGUCUGGGAAAGAUAUUGUUUCGGUGGGGGAUGGGCUCGCGGCCUAUCAGCUUGUUGGUGGGGUGAUGGCCUACCAAGGCGGUGACGGGUAGCCGGCCUGAGAGGGUGGACGGUAACAUUGGGACUGAGACACGGCCCAGACUCCUACGGGAGGCAGCAGUGGGGAAUAUUGCACAAUGGGCGCAAGCCUGAUGCAGCGACGCCGCGUGAGGGAUGGAGGCCUUCGGGUUGUGAACCUCUUUCGCCAGUGAAGCAGGCCUGCCUCGUUUGUGGGUGGGUUGACGGUAGCUGGAGAAGAAGCGCCGGCUAACUACGUG
rnacentral:rRNA from 1 species